GCCGGCGCCCUGUGUGAGCGGGCGCGCGCGCGCUCAUUUGGAUGUGAACGGUGGUCUGACGCGAGCCGCGCGCCGCGCGCCGGAGUAGUGUGUGGGGUUGUUGCCUGGGACCAGCGCAGUUAUGGAGUCGGGGUCGUGUACGAGGUCGGGGACCGGGACCGGGACAGUGUACGGGGUUAGGACAAUGUACAAGAGAGCUCUCAGCACCUAGUCUUCUCCAGUCUUUCCAUCAUCUUUGGAAACUUUUAUUGCUGUCUAUCAAUAUGAGGACCAAAACUGUGCUAAUAAAAGUCAAAUAAGCCAUUAUCAGACUGAGAAACAAGAAUAAAACUGUUAGAGACAUCUGCCAAAACUUAGGCUUACCAAAAUCAACUGUUUAGAACAUUUAGAAGAAAGAGCACUGGUGAACUUACUACUGGUGAAGGCCAAGGAAGACCUCCACAGCUGAUGACACAAGAAUUCUCUCUAUAAUAAAGAAAAAUCCCCAAACACUUGUCUGACAGAUCAGAAACACUCUUCAGGUGUGGAUUUGUCAAUGACCACUGUCUGCAGAAGACUUCAUGAACAGAAAUACAGAGGCUACAUUACAAGAUGCAAAACACUGCUUAGCUGCAAAAAUGGCUGGGGUACAGUUUGCCAAGAAGUACUUAAAAGAGCAACCACAGUUCUGGAAAAAAGGUCUUCUGGACAGAUGAGACGAAGAUGAACUUGUAUCAGAGUGAUGGCAAGAGCAAAGUAUGGAGGAGAGAAGUAUCUACCCAAGAUCCCAAGCAUACCACCUCAUGUGUGAAACAUGGUGGUGGGGGUGUUAUGGCCUGGGCAUGUAUGGCUGCUGAAAGUACUGGCUCACUUAUCCUCAUUGAUAAUACAACUUCGGAUGGUAGUAGCAUAAUGAAUUCUGAAGUGUAUAGACACAUCCUAUCUGCUCAAAUUCAAACAAAUGCCUCAAAAUACAUUGGCCGGUGGUUUAUUCUACAGCAAGACAAUGACCCCAAACAUACUGCUAAAGCAACAAAGGAGUUUUUAAAGCUAAAACAAUGGUAAAUUAUUAAGUGGCCAAGUCAAUCACCCAAUCUGAACCAAAUUGAGCCUGCCUUUUAUAUGCUGAAGAGAAAACUGAAGGUGACUAGCCACCAAAAUAUGCAUAACCUAAAGAUGGCUGCAAUACAAGCCUGGUAGAGCAUCACCAAAGACACCCAGCAACUGUUGAUGGCCAUGAAUUGCAGACUUCAAGCAAUCAUUGCAUGCAAAGGAUAUGUAACAAAAUACUAAACAUGUACAUGUCAUUGCUGUGUCCCAAACAUUAUGGUGCCCUGAAAUGGGGGAAACUAUGUAUAAACACUGUUGUAAUUUCUGCAUGGUGAAACCAAAAUGUAUAAAAAUGGCCUUUAUUAAAAUCUGACAAUGU